UUUUCCCUUAAAUACAUUUACCGGAUCAAUCAAAAACCACCUACAAAAUAUCCCAUGUAGCCAUAACAUUCGCUAUCUCUUCCCAAAAAGCCAUUUUAGACCCUUCCCUACCAGUCCAUACACUCCCCCAAAGCAUGAAUUCCCCUUUUUUAACAUCCAGAUGUUCCACUUUCCUAUCGUUCCACAUUAAUAAAAUGGCCCAGCACCUACCAACUUCUGGAACCCAAUCAUAUUUCACCCACGUUUCCUCCCACACACUUCUCAUUCAGCUGUGAAGUUAUUUUUCUCAAAAGAGUUCUGCUUUAUGAUGAACCAAUCUGUUAUGAUAAAGUCGUCUUGCUGUUCAUGAAAAGAUAGACUUGGACAUGAUAAAAAAGUUUUUCUUCCCCCCUUUGCUGCUACUUUUGUUAAGAACUAUAUGUAUAUGAAAUAGGCACUUAGUUCAUACCUUCAGCUUCAGUAAAUGUUCCUACGAUACCCUUACGGCUGCUUAAAUGAUUCUGUUUAUGGAAAAUAAAAGGUAUAUAUAGGAUUGGGUAACUAAUUCUUGUUGAUUUGUAGAACAGGGGCUUUUGAUCAUGAACUAUAACAACAACAACAACAACAACAAACCCAGUGUAUUCCCACUUUGUGGGGUCUGGGGGGGGUAAGAUGUACGCAGUCCAUACCUCUACCUCUGAUGAAGUAGAAAGGCUGUUUCCGAAAGACCCCCGGCUCAAGUUACGAGAUAUCAAACAAACACAUAGUACAGCACAGAAGCAGAUGACAUAACAUAGAUACUGCAGCCAUAAGGAAUAUAAAAAAGAGUAAAGAAGGAAUGCAGGAAUAUAAAGCAGAGGAAAGCACACAGAUUCGUAACAAACAUAGAACACGGAACACGGAACAGAACAUUGAAAUACGGAAUCAUACCAGGAAUACCCCCCCACCAAUUACCUCCCUACAUUAGCGACCCGAACAGGCCCUAAACAUAGACCCGAACAUGUUCAAAUGUUUCAAAAAGGAAAUCCAACAACAUAACCAGUGUAAACCCACUAGUGGGAUCUGGACAGGGUAGACUGUAGAGUGUAAGGAGACUUUAAUCGAGGUAGAGAGGUUGUUUCCAAUAGACCAUUGACUUAAUGAAAGAACAGUACAAAGCAUUAAAAGAAAAACGGAAUUGCAGAAGCUAUGUCUAACUACUAUAGAAAGCAUGUUUCAAAAAAUAAAUAAUAUCACGUAAAUAAAUAGAGGGAGUAGCUCAUUAAGCCACAUAAUCAUGCAUGUUUAAAAGUACAAGUUGACUAUAAUACAUAUUGAUUCCAUAACUUCUAUAGCUAUACAUCAGGCCUAUGGACCCAAGAAAUGAGCAAAAACUAAUCCUUUGCUAAGUUAUAACUUGUUCAGCCAAGCUUUUGGGAGGCAAAAAGUGCUUACUUUAAAAAGCGAGGUGUUUGGCCAAGUUUUUGGGAAAAAUAAGUAUUUCUGGAGGUACCAAAAACUGCUUUUCAGAAGCUAAGAAAAUAGCUUUUUCCUAAAAGUGCUUUUUUCCUAGAAAAAAUAUAAUUAAAGUACUUCUAACAAGUUUGGUCAAACACUAAUUGUUCAUCAAAAGUGCUUUAUGAAACACAAAUUGCUUUAUGAAACACAAACUGCUUCUAACCAAAAGCACUUUUCAAAAUAAGCAGAUUUCAGAAGCUUGGCCAGAUAAGCUACUAUUAGUUUCCAUUAGCUUGAUCAGUCAUUUGAUCUCUUGAAAACUAAAGCCAUCAGGAAUUUCAAAAUAGGGACUGAGCUGGACCUCAGCUUGUAGAAGAUCAACCACAAGACGAAGGAAUGAAUCUAACCGAACUUUCAAAAGAGGACAAAAAUUGCAUGUAUAAUAAGCACAAACACAAACACAAAACAAUUCAGUUUGCAUAAAAUCACUAGAAAUGGAAUCAUAACAUGGAAGAUUCAUGACUUACGGGUUCAUCAGAGAGGACAUUAGAAUCAAAAUGGAAUUGAGCAACAAUGAGAGCGUUACGAAUACCGCUAUUUCCUUCUCCACCGCCUCCGGCAAGGACAACAUAACUUUCCGAUGACGAUGAUUUCUCGACGCCGUCGUCCUUAUCAUCAUCAGUGGCCGGCGGCGGUUCGACUGCAGAUCUGAGGGCGCUCGGUGGGACCCAACCGGCACCGUAAAUAGGGACGCCAUAGUUCUUCGAAUUUCCGGAAUCAGCCAUCUUGGGUCACUGUGAUCCAGAAAUUGAUCAUGAACUAUAAUUUAUUGAAAAUCAGAAAGGAAAUGCCUGCAUGAAAUCUGUUGGACUUAUCCUUUUUCUUUUGUUCAUACUUGAAUAUUUUUAGGAGCUGAAACUUACCUUGAUUCUGCAGUUGGUUUCUGCUAUGUGCUUUUCGUACUUCUUAC
rnacentral:lncRNA from 1 species